CUGAAGCGCUGUACUACCAGGCUUGAUUAUGUUCCAAUCGGCUGGCUGCGCCUGGAUUCCUGGUGUCGAAAAAUCCACCCAUCGAUGGCUUAUAAGCAUUGCCAAAUGUGGGUGUGUGCUGCUUCUGAGAGGAAACGGAAGCUAACAGGGGCAGAGACAGACAAGCUGUCUGCCAAGCACCCCACCACCACCUCUGAAAUUGUGUGGUCUUCUGUAGUCUACAGAGGUGUCCAGAGUGAAAGGCCAAGCUCCCUCCUGAUGCCUUCACCGUCCUCAUCAUUACAGCCUGUUGAGGAAUCCAUGGAUCAUCUCACCAUCAGGACACCUCUCCAUGUCUCACCAUCAGGACACCUCUCCAUGUCUCACCAUCAGGACACCUCUCCAUGUCUCACCUCCUCGUCUCUCCUCUCCAUGUCUCACCUCCACGAGCUUUGCAAUGAAUUUGCUCCUGACAUCAUCACAGCAAGGAAACAUACCGGUUCCAGUGCCUCCGUUCAGGUCUGUUCCAGUGCAGUAUAACAGGCCUGGUGUUUAGGAUGGAGGGAGAGGUGCUCUAUAGGACAGUCCCCUGGAACAGGAGGCUUCUAGCCCAGAGAGGCAAGAGGCCUGCAGGACCCCUGUUCAACAUCGACUGCCCUCAGAAGUCUGUCUGCCAACUACACCUCCCACACUGUCAGAUUCAUUCUGGUGGUGGAUGUGACUUCCUGUCUGUAGCCCAUGUGACUGAUGACAUCAUUGAAUUUCUUCCUCCUCAUGAGAUAACAGAAACACACAUCAUAAUAAACAUCACUGGAUUCUCUGCUUAUGGUGAUGUCACGGAUGAUGAUGCUCCCAUCUCCCCUAUCCAGGGGCUUGUGUUGUUAUUCCACCAACUGUUUGUCCCUGAAGAGAGGUCCAUCCUGAAUGUGUUGUUGCUUCCCAGUAAUGUUGUGAGAAAAGAGGUGAGCUGGAGCCCUACAACCCCAGAAACCUUAUUCUAUCUGGCUGGAAUUCAAUCAAACACACAAUGGGAAAUGUAAUACUGGCAUAACGGCUAAAACAUUUAAUCAAACCAUUAUGGAGAGAAGCAAGUGUGACUGAAUUCCAUCUGUUGACCUUUUUGAUCUUAUUGCAUUAUUCUCAAGCUUUAAGUCGUUUUUUUAAUCACAUUCUCUGCAAUUAUUUUUAAAAAGAGGGUAUUUUGAAGCACAAUGAACCUGUCUAUUGUUGGUCCUUUCAAGGUGCGGUGAUUGAAAGGGAUGGUAUGUGAGACCUUUUAACAACUUCUCAGUGUAAACUUCCCCCGAAGCAAGAAUACGCCUUCUCCACUAAUUCCACAGAUGCACAUCGAAUACAAUAUUUGAGUAAUACAUUUUUUAUUACAAUGUAAUUUUUUAUUUCAUUGUCACUUCCUAUGAAAGCAACUACUACCCCACAUUUCAGUUGUUUUUUCUGAAAGAAAAGGAAGGUGAUGAACUUGUAUGGAACAGACUUGUCUGGUUGCCAGGUAACAAACAUUCAGAGCUCAAAUCCAAUCAAAUGAAGUCAGACCCGUAGUACUGUUACAUGUUUUUAGUUUUCUUACAGCGUUAUUGUUAUUGAACUAUGAUGUCAUUAUAUCAUAUGAUUAUAAUGAAUAUACCUUUUAUCAGAUAGUAAAACACCAUCUAUUUUCAGCCUCACCAACAGAUGUCACCUCUACAAGUUCACUGACAUUCACCAUCAUUAUAAACCUCUCGAUAACAAACUACAGAUUAAUCACCAUUAUAAACCUCUCAAUAACAAACUAGAGAUUCAUCACCAUUAUAAACCUCUCAAUAACAAACUAGAGAUU